AAUCUGCCUUUAGGUCGGGGACAACAGUUGGAAACGACUGCUAAUACCGGAUGUGCAGCAUUGUGAAAGAUUUAUUGCCUAAAGAUGAGCUCGCGUCUGAUUAGCUAGUAGGUGUGGUAAUGGCGCACCUAGGCGACGAUCAGUAACUGGUCUGAGAGGAUGACCAGUCACACUGGGACUGAGACACGGCCCAGACUCCUACGGGAGGCAGCAGUGGGGAAUUUUCCGCAAUGGGCGAAUGCCUGACGGAGCAAUACCGCGUGAGG
rnacentral:rRNA from 1 species